rnacentral:rRNA from 1 species
GACGUAGGGUCCGAGCGUUGUCCGGAAUUACUGGGCGUAAAGAGCUCGUAGGUGGUUUGUCGCGUUGUUCGUGAAAACUCACAGCUUAACUGUGGGCGUGCGGGCGAUACGGGCAGACUGGAGUACUGCAGGGGAGACUGGAAUUCCUGGUGUAGCGGUGGAAUGCGCAGAUAUCAGGAGGAACACCGGUGGCGAAGGCGGGUCUCUGGGCAGUAACUGACGCUGAGGAGCGAAAGCGUGGGGAGCGAACAGG